rnacentral:misc_RNA from 1 species
GAAAUGCGAUAAGUAAUGUGAAUUGCAGAAUUCAGUGAAUCAUCGAAUCUUUGAACGCACAUUGCGCCCGUUAGCAUUCUAGCGGGCAUGCCUGUUCGAGCGUCAUUUCAACCCUCAGAACCCCUGUAUUUUUUGUACUGGGUAUGCUGGUGUUGGGGCCUUCUGCGGCUGCCGCAGGCCCUGAAUAACAGUGGCGGGCUCCGCUAUACUCCGAGCGCAGUAAUACUUUUCUCGCUCAGGGCGUGUAGCGGGGAUCUAGCCUUGUCUUCAUACUUAAAUGGUUGACCUCGGAUCAGGUAGGAAUACCCGCUGAACUUAA